CAGCCGUAAACUAUGCUCGCUAGGUGUCAGGCAUGGCGCGACCGUGUCUGGUGCCGCAGGGAAGCCGUGAAGCGAGCCACCUGGGAAGUACGGCCGCAAGGCUGAAACUUAAAGGAAUUGGCGGGGGAGCACAACGACGGGUGGAGCCUGCGGUUUAAUUGGACUCAACGCCGGACAACUCACCGGGAACGACAGCAAUAUGUAGGCCAGGCUGAAGACCUUGCCUGAAUCGCUGAGAGGAGGUGCAUGGCGUAGACGUCU
rnacentral:rRNA from 1 species